AUUGCCCUAGUAACGGCGAGUGAAGCGGCAACAGCUCAAAUUUGAAAUCUGGCUUCGGCCCGAGUUGUAAUUUGUAGAGGAAGCUUUUGGUGAGGCACCUUCUGAGUCCCCUGGAACGGGGCGCCAUAGAGGGUGAGAGCCCCGUAUAGUCGGAUGCCGAUCCAAUGUAAAGCUCCUUCGACGAGUCGAGUAGUUUGGGAAUGCUGCUCAAAAUGGGAGGUAAAUUUCUUCUAAAGCUAAAUACCGGCCAGAGACCGAUAGCGCACAAGUAGAGUGAUCGAAAGAUGAAAAGCACUUUGAAAAGAGGGUUAAAUAGCACGUGAAAUUGUUGAAAGGGAAGCGUUUGUGACCAGACUUGCGCCGUUCCGAUCAUCCGGUGUUCUCACCGGUGCACUCGGGACGGCACAGGCCAGCAUCGGUUUUGGCGGGGGGACAAAGGCCCUGGGAACGUAGCUCCUCCGGGAGUGUUAUAGCCCAGGGCGUAAUGCCCUCGCCGGGACCGAGGUUCGCGCAUCUGCAAGGAUGCUGGCGUAAUGGUCAUCAACGACCCGUCUUGAAACACGGACCAAGGAGUCAAGGUUUUGCGCGAGUGUUUGGGUGUAAAACCCGCACGCGUAAUGAAAGUGAACGUAGGUGAGAGCUUCGGCGCAUCAUCGACCGAUCCUGAUGUAUUCGGAUGGAUUUGAGUAAGAGCGUUAAGCCUUGGACCCGAAAGAUGGUGAACUAUGCUUGGAUAGGGUGAAGCCAGAGGAAACUCUGGUGGAGGCUCGCAGCGGUUCUGACGUGCAAAUCGAUCGUCAAAUCUGAGCAUGGGGGCGAAAGACUAAUC
rnacentral:rRNA from 1 species